AGGAGGUUGAAAACGAAACCCCCGCGGCCUGCGACGGGGUCGAGGAAGGGGCAAAUGCAACGCUCACUAUGGAACUGCUUGUAGGCAGCGGGGGAAAGAGCGGAAGAAACCGCGAGGAGGAGGAGGUUUCGCGCGCGAGCUUGUGGGACGCUGCUGCGGAGGGGGAAGGGCGGAAUGGGAAGAGAAGAAGGGCGAACGAAAACGAACGCGAGCUUGUGGGUUUUGAUUACGAGGGGUGGGAAGGGCGCAAGAGUCGAAGGGCGAUUCGAACGGCAGCGCGCAAGAGAAGGGAGCAGAAAAACGAGACGGAGCAACCCCGAUCGAAAUUCGGCUAAGUCCCGAUCGCGGCAGUCGAAAUUUUUCUAAGUCCCGGGAAGCACGCGUUCCACAGACGGUGCAGUGCAAGUGCAGCCAAGUGUUUGUCGACAAUGUAGUGGAAAGUGAUUGUGAAGCUGUAGGUGUUGACUGCAGUCCACAUGCAAGGUAAGAUAAAACAACAUUACAUUACCCCGGAAGUAAUCUAAUAUUUUGAUAUGUUUUUUUCCUCUCCGACAUGUACACGAGCAUUCUGCAUCGAACGGUCAACCCAAAGGUCACAGAACACGCCAACGAUCGAAGUACGCGUAUGGAACACGCGUUUGAACAGGAACGUUCAUGAUCGCAGCCCGGAUCACGCCGCCACAGCGACGCCACCAAGCCAGAUGCAGACGUAGACGACGGCACCAACACCAACAGCACGAACGGCGAACAUCGCAUCAUGAUGACGUCACACCAUGACGACGUCAUCACCAAAGUAUUAUGGCGUCACGGGGUGGGUUCGAAAUAAUUAGCGAAAAUAAACGCCACCGCCAUUGCGCGAUGGCUUACGGACCAAUCAAAGCGUACUUCAUUUUGGGUAGGGAAAGAGUAUAGGAAAGAAAGAAAGGGGGCUAUAGGAGAGAGCG